GCGACGAUAGCUCAGUGGGUAAAGCGCCAGGUGAGAAGAUGGCGAUUACUCCAAGGGCUAUUAUCUGCGCGGAGUGCGCGGGUUCGGAUCCCGCCUGUGGCA